AACGGGUGAGUAACACGUGGGCAAUCUGCCCUGCACUCUGGGACAAGCCCUGGAAACGGGGUCUAAUACCGGAUGAUACCCCGGGGCGCAUGCCCUGGGGUUGAAAGCUCCGGCGGUGCAGGAUGAGCCCGCGGCCUAUCAGCUUGUUGGUGGGGUGAUGGCCUACCAAGGCGACGACGGGUAGCCGGCCUGAGAGGGCGACCGGCCACACUGGGACUGAGACACGGCCCAGACUCCUACGGGAGGCAGCAGUGGGGAAUAUUGCACAAUGGGCGAAAGCCUGAUGCAGCGACGCCGCGUGAGGGAUGACGGCCUUCGGGUUGUAAACCUCUUUCAGCAGGGAAGAAGCGUGAGUGACGGUACCUGCAGAAGAAGCGCCGGCUAACUACGUGCCAGCAGCCGCGGUAAUACGUAGGGCGCGAGCGUUGUCCGGAAUUAUUGGGCGUAAAGAGCUCGUAGGCGGCUUGUCGCGUCGGAUGUGAAAGCCCGGGGCUUAACCCCGGGUCUGCAUUCGAUACGGGCAGGCUAGAGUGUGGUAGGGGAGAUCGGAAUUCCUGGUGUAGCGGUGAAAUGCGCAGAUAUCAGGAGGAACACCGGUGGCGAAGGCGGAUCUCUGGGCCAUACUGACGC
rnacentral:rRNA from 1 species